rnacentral:rRNA from 1 species
GCGGUGCUGAAGCAACAAAUGCCCUGCUUCCAGGAAAAGCCUCUAAGCAUCAGGUAACAUCAAAUCGUACCCCAAACCGACACAGGUGGUCAGGUAGAGAAUACCAAGGCGCUUGAGAGAACUCGGGUGAAGGAACUAGGCAAAAUGGUGCCGUAACUUCGGGAGAAGGCACGCUGAUAUGUAGGUGAAGUCCCUCGCGGAUGGAGCUGAAAUCAGUCGAAGAUACCAGCUGGCUGCAACUGUUUAUUAAAAACACAGCACUGUGCAAACACGAAAGUGGACGUAUACGGUGUGACGCCUGCCCGGUGCCGGAAGGUUAAUUGAUGGGGUUAGCGCAAGCGAAGCUCUUGAUCGAAGCCCCGGUAAACGGCGGCCGUAACUAUAACGGUCCUAAGGUAGCGAAAUUCCUUGUCGGGUAAGUUCCGACCUGCACGAAUGGCGUAAUGAUGGCCAGGCUGUCUCCACCCGAGACUCAGUGAAAUUGAACUCGCUGUGAAGAUGCAGUGUACCCGCGGCAAGACGGAAAGACCCCGUGAACCUUUACUAUAGCUUGACACUGAACAUUGAGCCUUGAUGUGUAGGAUAGGUGGGAGGCUUUGAAGUGUGGACGCCAGUCUGCAUGGAGCCGACCUUGAAAUACCACCCUUUAAUGUUUGAUGUUCUAACGUUGACCCGUAAUCCGGGUUGCGGACAGUGUCUGGUGGGUAGUUUGACUGGGGCGGUCUCCUCCUAAAGAGUAACGGAGGAGCACGAAGGUUGGCUAAUCCUGGUCGGACAUCAGGAGGUUAGUGCAAUGGCAUAAGCCAGCUUGACUGCGAGCGUGACGGCGCGAGCAGGUGCGAAAGCAGGUCAUAGUGAUCCGGUGGUUCUGAAUGGAAGGGCCAUCGCUCAACGGAUAAAAGGUACUCCGGGGAUAACAGGCUGAUACCGCCCAAGAGUUCAUAUCGACGGCGGUGUUUGGCACCUCGAUGUCGGCUCAUCACAUCCUGGGGCUGAAGUAGGUCCCAAGGGUAUGGCUGUUCGCCAUUUAAAGUGGUACGCGAGCUGGGUUUAGAACGUCGUGAGACAGUUCGGUCCCUAUCUGCCGUGGGCGCUGGAGAACUGAGGGGGGCUGCUCCUAGUACGAGAGGACCGGAGUGGACGCAUCACUGGUGUUCGGGUUGUCAUGCCAAUGGCACUGCCCGGUAGCUAAAUGCGGAAGAGAUAAGUGCUGAAAGCAUCUAAGCACGAAACUUGCCCCGAGAUGAGUUCUCCCUGACUCCUUGAGAGUCCUGAAGGAACGUUGAAGACGACGACGUUGAU